AAGGGAGACCUAAUUCAGGUAGGAGACGAAAAAACAGUAGUCGCUACCAAGAAUCAAUCCCAAAAGGUCGGAGCGAGGCGAAAUUGGCUUUCAAACUAGGUUCUGGGUUCACACAAGACCUGAAUCAGGAACAAGGGCUAUUAGCUCAGGUGGUUAGAGCGCACCCCUGAUAAGGGUGAGGUCUCUGGUUCGAGUCCAGGAUGGCCCACCUGUACAGGUGGCAAAAAGAAAGAAAAGAAGCGAGGGAUCAGCACCUUAUCUUAUUUAUAUAGUAAGAGAGAAUGCUGGCUCUGAGUUCAGAGUCCAGAGGAACCUUGAAAACUGCAUAGAGCUAGGUGAAAAAGCCAAAAAAGAAGACCGCAA
rnacentral:tRNA from 1 species